UACGGCCAUAUCAUGUUGAAAAAUCGGUUCCGGUACGAUCGCCGAAGUUAAGCAACAUCGAGCCUACUCACUAUUAGGAUGGGUGACCAUUUGGGAAUAUCAGGUGCUGUAAG